GCGUUGGGCGGGGCGUCCCUGAGAGAAAUUAACACAGUCUCACUCUGUCACCCAGGCUGGAGUGCAGUGGCUCAAUGUCCAUUCACUGCGACCUCCACCUCCCAGGUUCAAGCGAUUCUCGUGCCUCAGCCUCCCGAGUAGCUGGGAUUACAGGAGUAUUGUCAUAGGCAACAGUCCAGAACUCAGGAGAAUGAACUGAAAAUAAAUGCUGUGUUUUCAGAGAGUGCUUCACAGUUGACUGCAGGCAUUCAGCUUUCUCUGGCAUCAUCUGGCGUGAAUAAAAUGCUUCCUUCAGUUUCAACCACAGCUAUUCAGGUUUCCUGUGCUGGUUGUAAAAAAAUUCUCCAGAAGGGGCAAACUGCUUAUCAGAGGAAAGGAUCUGCUCAACUUUUCUGCUCCAUACCAUGCAUCACUGAAUACAUUUCAUCUGCCAGUUCACCAGUUCCUUCUAAGAGAACUUGUUCAAACUGCUCAAAAGACAUUUUAAAUCCAAAGGAUGUGAUUAGUGUCCAGCUGGAAGACACUACCUCUUGCAAAACUUUUUGCAGCCUAUCUUGUCUUUCAUCAUAUG
rnacentral:lncRNA from 1 species